AGUGUCUUUUAAGUAUUUGAUCAUCAAAUGCCAACCCCCAGGAUCUGCUAUUCUUUUUUGUUUUGUUUUGUUUUUGUUUUUCGAGACAGGGUUUCUCUGUAUAGCCCAGGCUGUCCUGGAACUCACUUUGUAGACCAGGUUGGCCUCAAACUCAAAUAUCUGCCUGCCUCUGCCUCCCAAGUGCUGGGAUUAAAGACAUGCGCCACCAUACCUGGCUCAGCAGAAAGUCCUAACAUGUGAUACUUAGCAAUAAUUCACAUGGUGAAUCCCAGCUAGCAGACCCUGCUACUCAGUUGGAGAUGGACAGCAUUGUGCUGUCCAUCACUACUGAAAAGUCAAGGGAGAGCAAGAAGAGAGCAUCUCCCUGGAUCCCAGACUAAAUGAUGACUUUACUGCAAAAUCCCACGGACAACAAACUAGGCCACUUUAUCCAAACUGCACUCAAAGUACCUCUACAGCCCCUUCCCUGAAGAGCCUUAUGUGUUCUCUAGGUGAGAUUGGUGUUUUCUGAAAUUCAGAGAUUCUUCCAUUUUCAAAUCUCAAAAUCAAGACCUCAUUUGAUUCAAUAUAUUACCUACACUCAGGAUGUUGGUUGUGUACCAAGAAGAAUAAAAAAUAGUUUAUUUGACCUUUUGUUAUUUUUAACAGGGUGUGUGUAUGGUACUAAUUUUCCAUAAAAAGAGGAAAUGUGUCUUUUGAUAAAGUAAAGAAUCAAUCCAUGAAUACACAGCAGGACAACUGGCAGUCCCUUUGAGUCGUUCCAUCAUCCAAACCCAGUAUGAACAACUUCUGACUGUGCAAAUGAGGAGGGAAUGCUCUGGGUGGGCCAAGGGUCACUAAAAGAAAAAGGCAUGAUGGGGGCUCAUCAGAAGAGCAAGACAGAGGAUUAGGAUUUACAGAAAAAAAUAAGGAAACAUGAGAGGAAAGUUCUUGAAAUGCCUUGUCCUGUGUAUAGAGGCCAGAGGACCACUUUCAGGAGUCCUCUGUUUUCUCUGACCAUGCUGUGGGUCCCUAGAAUCAAAGUUCUAAUUCAAUAUUAUUUUGUUUUAUUCCGUUUAUGUUACUGGAUUCACUUGUUGCUCAAAUUAUUCAGAUGUGGCCACUGGGAGCUCCCUCAGUUGGCCCCUAUUUUCUUUUGGCACAAAACCAUCAUUGUGCUUUGCUUUUGCUUAAUGUUCUCUUACCACCUUGUGUAUUUCUUGUCCCAGACCUAACAUCAGCUAUUUCUCCAAGAAGCCAUUUCAUUUAAAUGGUGACUGUUAGCAGAAACCAAACCAGGGUGGAGGUAAACUUGUUCCUGGUGUGGUGUCAUUUCUUCUGCUGUAGUUCAGUCCACAGAACAAUAUGUAUGUGUGUGUCCUGCUAGUCCGUGAACAUGCAUCUUUUCAAUAUAUACAUAUACAUAUACACAAACAUUAUAUACACAUAUAUACCACAUACACACACAUACAUACACAAUACACAUAUCAUAUACAUAUACACAUACAUAUGCAUAUAUAUAUCGUCACUUAUGUGAAGCUAAGUGUGAGUUUAAACUUGUGUUUCAAUGUAAUCAUGUGGAUCAUACAAGAUUGCCUGGUGGUUAACCAGCAUAGUCUAUGGCACACAACUUUUUCAGCUACCCCCAGUGUAAACAUGCCCUUUCUUCUUAAGCCUCUGGUUUUACAGACUCCUCUGGGUGCUAAAGCCACUUUAGUCAGUGCCCUCAUCCCUCGUCCCCUUCAGGAAAGUUCUUUCACACAUUUGUAACACAGAGGGCUCAGUCACAGUCUGAAUUCUGUUCUGAAAUUCCUGAAUAAGCAAUGCUAAAUUUGUGUGCAUUAGAAUUCAUUCUUUGUGGUAUAGACUUUAAUGUUUUUAAACAAUGUAGGAUGUAAUUUGAAUGCAUUUAAUACUACGGAACAGUUUUCUCACCUUAAAAAGAAACCUGUGCUUUCUCAGUUCAAGUCUUCUUCCUCCAUCAGUGAGUCUCUGUCAGCCACAAACGGUUUUGCUGUGUCUACAGUUGUACCUUUUCCAGAGUGUCAUACAAUUGACAUAUAUUAUGUGGCCCUUUGAGACUGAGUUUCUUCAUGCAGCAGCUUAUACGUGUUAGAGUGUGAAUAGCAGGUGUCUCCCAAACUCAUACAUUGAAAUGCUAAUCUUCAGGAUAGUGGCAUUGUAGGUGACCCCAAGUCCAGGUGAGAAGCUAUUGAUAGUUCAAGGUUCCAGGAGAGGGAGAGUCAGUUUUAUUUAAGAGUGCAGGUUGACCAUGUUCCAGUGGGUGAAUCUACACUUAGGAGUAUAUGAGCCACAUAAAUUGGACUGAAUGGGUUAAAAAAUUAUGUGAAGUUGGAAAGAGGCUGGAGAGAUUGGGGAUGGAUCUAGAAAGAUAGGGGGAAGACUAAGAGGCAGACAUGAUCAAAAAUAGAUUAUAUGCAUUUGUGAAAAUCUUGAAGAAUUAGUGAAAAUAUUACAUUGAUUAAAUUAUCUUCUCCAUUGGGUUGUUUCAACUGGAAGAGUGUAUGAGCACAUCUUAUAUCCAGUCUCAUCUCCUCUGGUAUUUGUUCAGAGGUAGAACUUUACUCACUCCUUAUGUAGAGGUGCAUUGCUUCUUCCAGUGAAAUCAUCUCUUCCUGAUCUGUGGCUAUGGUCAAGGCACCCUAUGACCCAGUUAUCAAGGGACAUUCCUGAGUUAAGACUACAGGCCUCAGGUUCUAUGUGGGGUGGCACUUGACAUGUUUUUUUCUUCAUCCCUCCCUUCCUUUCUUCCUUCUUUACUUCAUUCCUUCUUCCCUCCCUCCCUUUAUUCUUUCCCUCCUUCUUUCUUUCCUUCCUUCUUCCUUUUGUUCUUUUUGUUUUCUUUUGUGAGAAAGAACCUCACAGAUUUGGCACUAUCUUUUUGACCUUGUGUUCUUCCUCACUCUAGACUUAUAGGUUUAUGUCAUUAUGCUCAGCUGAGAUAUUUUGCCUUCUUGUGUGACAAGGCUCUUCCAGGGAAGGCAUCAUAUAUGUGUGGAGAGCCGUGCCGUGAGCAAUCGCCAUUAUAAGAUGGCACUGGCUUCCACUGUGCCUAACUAGUAAACAAGCCUUAUGUGCAAGUGCAAGAGUGAACUCACACCUAGUCACUGCCCAUCCUGCGGUGUAGUAAUGGGGUGAUGGGUGAGCAACGAAUCAGGAGCUGUCAUGCCACAUCAGGUGCUGAAAUGUCACGCUGCAGGCUAUAUAAGCAGCGCCAUUUUCCCGGUUCGGGGGUCUUCCCUCCUGAUAAGUAAGCAAUAAAAGCUUUGCCGCAGAAGAUUCUGGUUGUCCUGAGUGUGUUCUUGCCAGUGGAGACAAAAGCUCGGGAUAAGUGGCGCUGAGAAACCCGGGAACUACCAUCACACCGGCGCAAGGGAGAUCCCUCGUUCACGAGGCAGAACCAGAACUGCGGGACAAAUUACAGUCUAUCAGAGGUAAAGCGGGGAGAGAGAGUAGGAGCAAAGAGAAAACAUGGUGCACCAAUUAAGCAUUCAGGCCUUUCCACGAGUCUUGAACCAGAGGAAAAGUUAAUGUCAGGGAAGAAUA
rnacentral:lncRNA from 1 species